rnacentral:snRNA from 1 species
CCAGCUUCCUUUGCCUUCUGGCUUAGAUCAAGUGUAGUAACUGUUCUUAUUAGCUUAAUCGCUGAUAGUCCUGUACUCAGGACUUGACUGAUUAUUCCAAUCUUUGGUCCUCGUGACUUGGCCCCUGUGCUUGCACAUGCCUUGUUGCACUGUGUCGCUGGGCUUACACUACCCCCGGCUGAUGCGAAUACUU